CCAGACUCCUACGGGAGGCAGCAGUGGGGGAUAUUGCACAAUGGGGGCAACCCUGAUGCAGCGACGCCGCGUGAGCGAUGGAGUACUUCGGUAUGUAAAGCUCUGUCAGCAGGGAAGAGAAUGACGGUACCUGACCAAGAAGCCCCGGCUAAAUACGUGCCAGCAGCCGCGGUAAUACGUAUGGGGCAAGCGUUAUCCGGAUUUACUGGGUGUAAAGGGAGCGUAGGCGGCAGGGCAAGCCUGGAGUGAAAUGCCGGGGCCCAACCCCGGAACUGCUUUGGAAACUGUGCAGCUCGAGUGCAGGAGAGGUAAGCGGAAUUCCUAGUGUAGCGGUGAAAUGCGUAGAUAUUAGGAGGAACACCAGUGGCGAAGGCGGCUUACUGGACUGUAACUGACGUUGAGGCUCGAAAGCGUGGGGAGCAAACAGGAUUAGAUACCCUCGUA
rnacentral:rRNA from 1 species